UACCCGCGGUCCACGUCGCAGCUACAUUUAUUUGGUCUAAAACAUCCGUAGCUUGUUUGGUAAGCUUCCUGUGAAAUCCUGAGUCUCAAGCUCAGGGCGUGCAGGAAAGACUGCCAUACUAGAGACCGGAAGACGUAAGAAGUACAUCUAAAGUAGCGGUAAAAUGUGUUAAUCUUAGGUGGACUCACAAUAGCGAAGGCAUCUUACGAGCACGGUUCUGACAGUAAGGGAUGAAGGCUAGGGGCGCAAAGUGG
rnacentral:rRNA from 1 species